GACGAACGCUGGCGGCGUGCUUAACACAUGCAAGUCGAACGGAAAGGCCCUGCUUUUGUGGGGUGCUCGAGUGGCGAACGGGUGAGUAACACGUGAGUAACCUGCCCUUGACUUUGGGAUAACUUCAGGAAACUGGGGCUAAUACCGGAUAGGAGCUCCUGCUGCAUGGUGGGGGUUGGAAAGUUUCGGCGGUUGGGGAUGGACUCGCGGCUUAUCAGCUUGUUGGUGGGGUAGUGGCUUACCAAGGCUUUGACGGGUAGCCGGCCUGAGAGGUUGACCGGCCACAUUGGGACUGAGAGACGGACCAGACUCCUACGUGAGGCAGCGGUGGGGAAUAUUGCACAAUGGGCGGAAGCCUGAUGCGGCAACGCCGGGUGCGGGAUGACGGCCUUCGGGUGGUAAACCGCUUUCGCCUGUGACGAAGCGUGAGUGACGGUAAUGGGUAAAGAAGCACCGGCUAACUACGUG
rnacentral:rRNA from 1 species